AACAUCGCGCACCUGCGGGAACCUGCGGAGGGAUCAUCAUCGAAUUCAUAUCCCCCUCCUCUCCCGGAGGGGGACCCAUGAUAAACCCUUCUGUGCACCGUAACCGUUCACUUUGGCAGGCUUUGGUGGUGAGCGUGAGAUCGCCUCCAACCUCGCGUUCCCUCCCUAAGGGGUGUUACGCGUGGCGGCCUGCCGGAGUCCCAUUAAAAAACUCGUUUUCGAACACGUCUGAAAAUUUCC
rnacentral:misc_RNA from 1 species